rnacentral:rRNA from 1 species
CCUACGGGUGGCAGCAGUAGGGAAUAUUGCUCAAUGGGGGAAACCCUGAAGCAGCAACGCCGCGUGGAGGAUGAAGGUUUUCGGAUUGUAAACCUCUUUUGUUAGAGAAGAUAAUGACGGUAUCUAACGAAUAAGCACCGGCUAACUCCGUGCCAGCAGCCGCGGUAAUACGGAGGGUGCAAGCGUUACACGGAUUCACUGGGCGUAAAGGGCGCGUAGGCGGGAUAGCAAGUCAGAUGUGAAAUCCUAUGGCUUAACCAUAGAACUGCAUUUGAAACUGUUAUUCUAGAGUGUGGGAGAGGUAGGUGGAAUUCUUGGUGUAGGGGUAAAAUGCGUAGAUAUCAAGAGGAAUGCUCAUUGCGAAGGCGACCUGCUAGAACAUAACUGACGCUGAGGCGCGAAAGCGUGGGGAGCAAACAGGAUUAGAUACCCCAGUAGUC